rnacentral:rRNA from 1 species
AUUGAACGCUGGCGGCAGGCCUAACACAUGCAAGUCGAACGAGUGGCGGACGGGUGAGUAAUGUCUGGGAAAAUGCCUGAUGGAGGGGGAUAACUACUGGAAACGGUAGCUAAUACCGCAUACCAUCGAAUGUGCCCAUAGUGGAUUCGCUAGUGGGUGGGGUAAAGGCUCACCUAGGCGACGAUCACUAGCUGGUCUGAGAGGAUGACCAGCCACACUGGAACUGAGACACGGUCCAGACGCCUACGGGAGGCAGCAGUGGGGAAUAUUGCACAAUGGGCGCAAGCCUGAUGCAGCCAGGCCGCGGGUAUGAAGAAGGCCUUCGGGUUGUAAAGUACUUUCAGCGGGGAGGCGUUACCCGCAGAAGAAGCACCGGCUAACUCCGUGCCAGCAGCCGCGGUAAUAC